rnacentral:rRNA from 1 species
UACGUAGGGAGCAAGCGUUGUCCGGAAUCAUUGGGCGUAAAGCGCGCGUAGGCGGCCCUGUAAGUCCGUUGUGAAAGUCAAAGGCUCAACCUUUGAAAGCCGAUGGAUACUGCAGGGCUAGAGUCCGGAAGAGGCGAGUGGAAUUCCUGGUGUAGCGGUGGAAUGCGCAGAUAUCAGGAGGAACACCGGUGGCGAAGGCGGGUCUCUGGGCAGUAACUGACGCUGAGGAGCGAAAGCGUGGGGAGCGAACAGG